rnacentral:rRNA from 1 species
CAAUAGCGUAUAUUAAAGUUGUUGCGGUUAAAAGCUCGUAGUUGGAUUUCUGUUGAGGACGGCCGGUCCGCACUAUGUGCGUGUAUCUGGUUCGGCCUUGGCAUCCUUCUGGGGAACGGUGCUGCGCUUGAUUGCGUGGUCCGGUAUUCAGAACUUUUACUUUGAGGAAAUUAGAGUGUUUACGGCAGGCAUACGCCUUGAAUACAUUAGCAUGGAAUAAUACUAUAGGACCUUGGUUCUAUUUUGUUGGUUUCUAGAACUAAGGUAAUGAUUAAUAGGGAUAAUUGGGGGCAUUCGUAUUAACACGUCAGAGGUGAAAUUCUUGGAUUGUGUUACGACGAACUACUGCGAAAGCAUUUGCCAAGGAUGUUUUCAUUUGAUUAGAAGAAACGUAAGUCGGGGAGGGUCGACGGAAGUAGUAGUACUACGAAGUAACCUAACCUACUUCGUAGGAACGUACGUCCGAACCGGAACGGACC